rnacentral:lncRNA from 1 species
AUGUACAUUCCAGCGUGCAUCAAUAAACACUAUGUUACGCUGAAGAUCAUUUUUGCUGACUCGACUAUAUAUGUGUACGACCCAGAUCAUUCAUGUUUGACACAAGGCCAGUUGGAGCAAAACCUGGAGUCCGUGGCUGUAAUUGUUCCUAUGAUGGCUAGACGAGCGGGGAUAAAUGUACAGGACAGAUUGCGGAUCAUUCG